rnacentral:rRNA from 1 species
UCGGGAAUAUUGCACAAUGGGGGAAACCCUGAUGCAGCGACGCCGCGUAAAGGAAGAAGGUCUUCGGAUUGUAAACUUUUGUCGACAGGGAAGAAGAAAGUGACAGUACCUGUGGAGGAAGCCCCGGCUAACUACGUGCCAGCAGCCGCGGUAAUACGUAGGGGGCGAGCGUUAUCCGGAUUUACUGGGUGUAAAGGGCGCGUAGGCGGAACUUUAAGUCUGAUGUGAAAUACCAAGGCUCAACUUUGGAACUGCAUCGGAAACUGGAGAUCUAGAGUGUGGGAGAGGAAAGCGGAAUUCUCAGUGUAGCGGUGAAAUGCGUAGAUAUUGAGAGGAACACCGGUGGCGAAGGCGGCUUUCUGGACCAUAACUGACGCUGAGGCGCGAAAGCGUGGGUAGCAAACAGG